UGAUGGUAUUUAUGACGUCGAUAUUCGACGUCAUAAACACCAAACUUGAUGGUGUUUAUGACGUCGAAUAUCGACGUCAUAAACA
rnacentral:miRNA from 1 species